AUCAGAACAAAGCAAUUAUCGAGAAGGAAAAUGAUGUCGAGGAGAAGGCAGACGCACGCCGACAGCUGUGUCGCGGAGACCCAGGAAGUUUCAGGAAUGGCUCGAUGUCCUCGCCAGGCAUCCUGGAUCCAGCCGGACCCGAAGCUAGCCGGCGACGUGAGCCAACAUGUUCCUCUGUGCUGAAGCCGGCCUGGGCCGCUCCCAGCCACCACAGAGCACGGCCUCUCUCGUCCGGCCAAUCAGCAGCUCCCUUGAAGCUGAGAUUCGCAAGUGCCGCUCCAGGGUGGGAGUUUUCACCUCUGGCUGGCUCCAUCCUCUGAGCAGUGGCUCCAACACAGCCACCGUGCUCGGGGCGCCGCGGCUCACCUGCUCCGAAGCCUCGCCUGGCCAGCCUCCUGGGCUCUGGCCCCCCGCGCUGGGCUCGGAACCGCGUGAAAGGGGGCAGCCCUGGAACCGUUCCAACGGGUCGAUGUCCGCGAGGAUGGCCCAGGGUGGCUCCAGACAGACGACCGCCAGUACCCACCCCCUUCGCCUCCGAGGCUGCAGCCCGGAGUCCAUUCCGCGCAGACUCCGGUCCAGGAAGUGGCAAAGAUAGCACAGAGAGAGGCGCUGUGCACCCUCCCCAGGGUGCCCCCAGCGGUCGUGUCUUACAUAACCCGGUCCGGUCCCAGGCCAGAACGCUGCGUUGGCACAAGGGGUGUGCGUCACUGCGCGGCAUUCUGGCCCGUGUGGAGUGUCACGGAGCGCCACAGCCGUUGGGACGCAGAGCUGUCCCAUCGCCGCAAGUUUCCCUGCUGCUUCCUCACGGCUCCCCCCUCAAUCCUCUCCACCCCUUCCCGGGCUCCCAGCAGCCGCUGAUCUGUCUGCCAUCUCUAGGAUUCUGCCGUGCUGAGAAUGUUACAUAAACGAAAUCAUAUGAUA